UCAUCUCUUCAUCAACUCGCAUCCCAUUUUCAAUCUCUUCCGUCUCCACCGUUAAUCUUUUCUCUUUAGAUCUGGUACUUAUCAUUUCUCUGCUUCUGACACUGUGUUCAGAUCUGUGUAGAUCGUUCGCUGAUCUACCGUUUGAGUAUGGUCUCGAGUUCCAUCGGAGAUCUGCUUUUUGAUGGUUGGGCCGGAGGUUUUGUUACGAACCGUUUGACUUUGAGAAAUGAGUUGAUGAAAGCUUCAUAAUUUGGAAGAGUAGCUCUUGUCUGCUUGGUAGUUGUUCCAAAGCAACCAAAUCUGGUUAUUCAAGUCGAUUGGAUGCUUCAUCGUUUGCUGCUUGGGUUCUGUAGAUUUGAUUCUACAUGCGGCUCAUAUUGACCAUAUAUCUGUUCUGUAGAGCUGCUUGACUAAUCACAUCUGAUUUAUGCUCCAACUGUUGAACUGUGGGUCGAUUAACCGUUGGUAAUCGGCGAGGUUGUGGUUGUUAGAAAAGGUUUAUCAUUGUUUAAUUUGUUGUCUAUUAUGAGUUGCAUCAUUGAUGAGCAUUAACCUUUCUGAUACGCAUGCAUAUGUACGAGUUAGUUAUAUAGUCAUAGAGAAAAAGAGAGGACAUGUGAGAUUUUUGUUGUUUCCCGACCUUUGCCAUGAUGGGUGCGCUCGCAUGGCAGGUCACAAUACCCAAUAAAGUUUCUAUUUUUUGUUUCGGGAGAGGAGAUGGCACAGGGAUUUUGCCUGGCGCUCCUCUCUUUGUGUCGUCUCGUCUUUUGUUCUCUUCCUUGUUCCCUAGAUAUUAUACGCAAGAUCAAUACCACCAAGAACGUCACAUCAGAUUGUUGGAUACUUGCCCUUUGAAUGGUGGUCUUUUAUUCAAAGGCAAGUGACUCGUGCAUCUCUUAAAUUUGACAUCGGUCGGGCUAAUGCUAGGAUUAAUCUGCUCCAGCACUCCAAUCAAAGGUUUUGCAAAUAUGAUGUUCCCUUGGGUUGACAGGCGUGCGACAUACUUCCUAGUUGGUUCUUAAAAAAUGAGAUUGUUAACCCACUUACAAGUCAUUCGAAUGUGUAAUGUGGAUAUUUUUUAUUCAAAUGGUUCACUAGUGGGAAAAUCUCUGUUCUAUUGUUGUAAUGUAGUAGUGAAUUUGAAUGGGAAGUAUUGUCCGAGUGCAGUUUUUUGUAAUCUUGGAGGGGUGAAUAUGUAUGUACUCAAAUAUGUUUCAGUAUUUGGAUAGAAUGUCAUUCUUCUCUCCACUGGCUUUGGGAUGGUGCUAGCUACUUGUUGAAGAUCAAUGUUAAGUAUCUGGCUCUGCCGAGCUGAUCAACCAACUUGGGAUGCUGCUGAAUUACAGUGGAAAAAGGUGAUUCUACUGCUUAAAGUGUCAGCUGUGUUCGCUAUGUCAUUACUGUCAGUUGGAAUAGCUGUCUAAAAUUGAGGCUUCUUUAUUUCUUCGAAUACUUUCAAAGUGUUGCCGCCUUAGUGGCUGUAGCUCGUCCUGAUUGUUUGGUGUAUUGCUGGAGCCAUAGGGCUAAAUUUUAAGUUCCAAAGUUUACGUUGCUGCUCUUAAAGAAAGCAUCAUCAGCCUGAUACCUGCAAGGGGGUCUUACCACUUUAAUUUUAUUUUAUGUAUUUGAUCUAUCUAAUUUUUUGCUGUCUUUUAGGAAUUGGAUAUUGCAACUUUUGUAGAUGAUAGAAAACUGGUUAUUACCAAAAAAAACUGGUUAUAUCCACAUCUGGUACAUGUGAUUGUCUUGAUCGUUUGCAGAGGUAAUGUCAUGCUUAAUAUUCAUUGUUGGUAGUUUAUUAUAUGCUAACUAGUUAAGAGUUUAAAUUACAGGUUAUAUUGCUCUUUACUCCUAGUAACUGCCAAAUUCUAGUUCUUUCACAGGGGGGGAAUGGUCCUGUUUUAGUGUACGUACGUCGAUAGAGAGAGCAUACGGAUGUUUAUAGAGAAAUGAUUCAUAAAUUUGAUAAUUUCUUCUUGGUCUUCA